rnacentral:lncRNA from 1 species
AAUGACAUUUUUCAUUUUGGAUUGAAAUGAACUGAUCUGUAAGGGCAGAAUGAAAUGGUUCUAACUAAAUAUUUUAGAUUACUCGUGCAAUUUAAGGGCAGAAUGUGAAAAAAAAAAUAUUGGCUUCAUAGAACAAAUAUAUUCCUCAUGUGAAAUGUUCUACUCACAGAUGAGAGAGAAUGUCAAAAAAACAAUACCUAGUAGGGGGUG